CAGGUAGUUGGCGGGGUAAAGGCCCACCAAGCCGGCGAUCAGUAACUGGUGUGAGAGCACGACCAGUCACACGGGCACUGAGACACGGGCCCGACUCCUACGGGAGGCAGCAGUAAGGAAUAUUGGUCAAUGGAGGCAACUCUGAACCAGCCAUGCCGCGUGAAGGAUGAAGGUCCUCUGGAUUGUAAACUUCUUUUAUGUGGGAAGAAAUGCCUGUUUUAUAAUGGGUUUGACGGUACCAUAGGAAUAAGCACCGGCUAACUCCGUGCCAGCAGCCGCGGUAAUACGGAGGGUGCGAGCGUUAUCCGGAUUCACUGGGUUUAAAGGGUGCGUAGGUGGGAAUGUAAGUCAGUGGUGAAAUCUCUGAGCUUAACUCAGAAACUGCCAUUGAUACUAUGUUUCUUGAAUUAUCUGGAGGUUAGCGGAAUAUGUCAUGUAGCGGUGAAAUGCUUAGAUAUGACAUAGAACACCAAUUGCGAAGGCAGCUGGCUACAGGUGGAUUGACACUGAGGCACGAAAGCGUGGGGAUCAAACAGGAUUAGAUACCCUGGUAGUCCACGCCCUAAACGAUGGAUACUCGACAUUUGUGAUAGACAAUAAGUGUCUGAGCGAAAGCAUUAAGUAUCCCACCUGGGAAGUACGACC
rnacentral:rRNA from 1 species